rnacentral:rRNA from 1 species
AUUGAACGCUGGCGGCAUGCUUUACACAUGCAAGUCGAACGGUAACAGGUUAAGCUGACGAGUGGCGAACGGGUGAGUAAUGCAUCGGAACGUGCCCGAUCGUGGGGGAUAACGCAGCGAAAGCUGCGCUAAUACCGCAUACGAUCUGAGGAUGAAAGCGGGGGACCGUAAGGCCUCGCGCGAUCGGAGCGGCCGAUGUCAGAUUAGGUAGUUGGUGGGGUAAAGGCUCACCAAGCCGACGAUCUGUAGCUGGUCUGAGAGGACGACCAGCCACACUGGGACUGAGACACGGCACAGACUCCUACGGGAGGCAGCAGUGGGGAAUUUUGGACAAUGGGCGAAAGCCUGAUCCAGCAAUGCCGCGUGCAGGAAGAAGGCCUUCGGGUUGUAAACUGCUUUUGUACGGAACGAAAAGGUUUGACUUAAUACGUUGGACUCAUGACGGUACCGUAAGAAUAAGCACCGGCUAACUACGUGCCAGCCGCCGCAGUAA